UCUGAGACGGCGCUGCUUUACUCCUGAAAGUCUAUUAAGUACGAUGGCUUCUUCUUCUAGGGCUGUUGGAUCGAGGAAGCAUGACGUUUUCCUCAGUUUCUGCGGCGAGGACACCCGGACAACAUUUACCAGUACUUUGCAUGGAGUUUUGAAGCGGGAAAAUAUAGAUGUUUUCACUGAUCAUGAACUUGACAGAGGAGAGAAGAUUUCGUUGUCUCUUGUGACUGCAAUUGAAGAAGCAAUGAUUUCAGUUAUAAUUUUCUCGAAAGGUUAUGCGUCUUCAAGAUGGUGUCUUGAAGAACUUGUGAAGAUCAUGGAGUGCAAGAAAACGCAAAAACAGGCGAUAAUACCAGUUUUCUAUCACAUAGAUCCGUCAGAAGUAAGGAAUCAAACUGGAACUUUUGGAGAUGGAUUUGCCAGGCUUGUAGGAAGUUUUCAUGAGGAGAAACUAAAGAAGCUACAAAUGACAGAAGAACAAUUCAAGGAAAAGGUUCAGGCAUGGAAGAACGCUUUGACAGACGCAGCCAACAUAUCAGGCAGGACAUCGAAUCAGAAAACGACUAAUUAUUAUCUUGCGCAGAAAGUUUUUGAAGAUGUUUUGAAGAUCUUAAAUUUCUUGUCCCCAAGUAAUAACGACAAGAAAUUGGUUGGGUUAGAAUCAGUCAUUCACAAAAUUGUGUCUUUAUUGCAAAUUGGAUUGCCAAAUGUUAACAUUGUAGGAAUUUGGGGAAUGCGUGGUAUAGGAAAGACAACUAUUGCAAAGAGUGUAUUUGAUAACAUAAGCAAUCAGUUUGAUGGUUCAUACUUUGCUAGAAAUAUUAGGGAAGAAUCAACAAGUCCUUAUGGAUUAACUCCAAUGCGGCGAGAACUGCUUUCUACUUUAUUAGAGAAUCCUAUUGGCUUCAAAAAAGGAAGGCUUGGUCGUAGAAGAGUUCUUAUUGUUUUUGAUGAUGUGACUAAUUUAGAGCAAGUAGAAUCUUUAAUUGAAAACAUUAAUCAUUUGGGUUCGGGAAGUCGAAUCAUUAUAACAGCAACAGACAAACAAGUGCUUCAAAAUUGUGGAGUUAAUGAUACUAAUAUAUGUAAGAUAAAGGGGCUAUGUAGCAAUGAAGCUCUUAAGCUUUUUAGUUGGUAUGCUUUUCGACAAAAUCGUCCCAAUAUAGAUUAUGAGGAUUUGUCAAAAAGGGUAGUAAAAUAUACUAAAGGUGUUCCCUUAGCUCUUAAAGUGUUAGGCUGUUGCUUACUUGGCAAGUCAAAACAAGUUUGGGAAAGUGCAUUGAAAAAAUUUGAAAUAAUUCCACAUAAGGAUAUUCAUAAGGUACUAAAAAUAAGUUAUGAUGAACUAAAUGAUGACGAGCAGAACAUAUUUCUAGAUAUCGCAUGUUUCUUUAAAUGGGAGAAUAAAGAUUUCGUGAUUGACUUCUUGGAUGCUUGUGAUUACGAGACUGAAAUUGGACUAAGUGUUCUCAGUGAUAAGUGUCUUAUAACUGUGACAGAAGAUUACAAGAUAACAAUGCAUGAUUUGAUUCAAGAAAUGGGUUGGGAAAUAGUUCGACAAGAAUCUGCAAAAGAACUUGGUAAACGUAGUCGUUUAUGGUACCAUAAGGAUGUGUAUAGAGUAUUGGAGGAAAAUAAGAUUUCUAAUGCAAUUGAAGGCAUAUGUUUAGACAUGUCUAAACAAGGAGAGAUCAUAUACUUAGAACCUAGUGCACUAGCAAAGAUGGAUCAACUUAGACUCUUUAAGUUGCAUAAUGCGCUCAAUGAAGAGAUUGAUAUUAAUAAGGUGCAUGUUUCCCAAGAGCUUCGUUAUGUUUCGAGUAAACUACGAUACUUGUGUUGGCAUGGAUGUCCAUUGAAAUCAUUGCAGUCAAACAUUUUUCCCAAGAACCUGAUCGCCCUUGACAUGCCUCAUAGCAAUAUUAAACAACUUUGGCCUACUGUCCAGGCAUAUCAUCGAAAGGAUUUUUGUAUCUGUUUCCCUGGAAGUGAAAUUCCAGAGUGGAUGGUCUCUCAAAGUGCAGGAUCUUAUAUAACUCUAGACCUACAGGUAGAUCUUCACCCAAUGAAGUUGACUUCUUUUCUUACCUGUGUUGUUGUGGAGUUUUGAGACUAUCAUAAUAAAGGACAGGAUUUGGCGAUUGGGUUAGAGUUCUUGCUUACAAGAGAAAAUGGUAUAGUGGAUGUGUUCUAUGGAACUUUGAAGGGAUGGGAGCGUGGUACUGGACCUGACUAUGUGGACUCUGAUCAUGUAUUCUUGGGAUAUGAUUUCGCUUUUAUGUCGACAAUUAAAGAUUACAAAUAUUGUGAGAUAACCGUCCGAUUUUAUGUUGAGAAUUAUAUUACUAAAAGAGCAAAUUUUUGCAAAGUGAAAAAGUGUGGAGUUUGGGGUCCAAACUUACAGUCAAGGGAUGAGAAACCAGAGUCCAAGAAAUUGAAAACUAAAAAUUUCUAUGUUGGCGAAUCUAGCUCAAGAUAAGGUUUAUUAUCAAUGGCUCGGCAAUUGAAUCGUGGUCAAGGUAGAUGAGGUCAUGGCAGGGUUGUGGUGUUUUUGUAAAAGAUGUUGAUUACCGACAUGAUCCACGAGAAGUAGAGAUGGCAAAUUCAGGAUAUCCAAAGGCGGCUUGAGCAGGUAUAACUUUCAACAGAAUUCGAAGAGCAGGUUUCAUAAUUUUUAUAGGUAGGGGAGCUUUGAAUUUUUAUUAAUUAUGUUGAUUUCUUUGUGAAUUCUGGUAUGGGUUUCUUGAAUGUGGACGGACUACAGUCCUGUAGAAGGGUUUUCAACAAUAGUGCUAUUUGAGGUGCUUGUGUAUAUUCUUUGUUAUAAAUUCACUAUUUAGUGAUUGCUUAUGAUGUAGCACAGUAGGAAGCAUUGUGUGUGCUUUGCUGGGCAUGUGGAAGAAGUAAAAGCUGUUGCUGAAUGCUGAGGCAUCACACUCUAGAUUUUGUGAAGCUGUUGAGGCUGGAUUUCUUUCUGGAUAAAAUAAUUAUGGAGACCUAAUUCUGAAUGAAUUCCUGUUGUUCCCGUAUUUUUCUAAAAUGUAAUUUCUGAGUGGUUCCAGUAGUUAAUGUUGUAAGGUCUCAAAUGGGAAUCCUAUACUCAUCACUUUUGUAAAGCAAAUGUUGCUACUGCUCUUUCAAUCAUUAGCACUUUAAAUGGUCUGCUUGAAACUGAAGGCAAUGUAUGUAAGAGGAGAUGUAUUGCAGCUAAAGUGAUUUAGAAGCAGGGAAAAGCUGGUGUCUCUAGAGUGUGAGGGAUCCAUAUCUUGGGGAUCUAUUUUGUUUCUGUUGGUUAGGUGGCAGAGCCUCUUCAGUUCAGUCGGUGCCUUCCCCUGUUCUUGGUUGGUGCGGUUAGUGUUAGCCUCCUUGAACAUGUGGAUUUGGAAGUGACAUAUUUUACUACAACAAAAUUCUCAAAAGAAUAGUUAUUAUAGGCAAAUCCAACAAAUCUGAAAAGCUUUUAUUGCAUUUUAUGUACAGCUCCACUUUUACACCACAACUUAUGUUACAAGCAACAAAUCUGAAUUGGUGCAUGUGCCUAUCUAUGUGCAGAAAGAAUAGGAAACAAAGCAUCUUCUGCGUCAGAAACUGCAGUUUACAAACCACUGCUUAACUAUCAGCUAUCGUUCGACCAACUCAUAUAAUUUCCAAGCAAAGAAAAUUUUAUAUUAUCUGAAGUUGGAUGCUUAGCUGGCUUGGAAAUUCUUCAAUGGUGGCUACAAGUUGUUGGAGUAAUCCUUGUUUGUGGGAAUAAUCUAGAUAAUUGGUUUGAAUACUUCAUGAUACUUGUGGACCAAAUAAGAGAGGCGGUGUAUGUUUUAUUUAACACUCCUCCUUACCAACUACUCUCACAUGUUGUUGAUCUCGUAGACAGCCAUAUCAAGUUGUCUACAAUUCCGAGAUUUUUUCUUAGUGUUGCGUUCGUGUCAAUGACCAGUUUUCAGUUGACCAGCCUCAACCAGAACACCCACUCUCGCCGCUGUUCCUGUUGUUUGUGGCUGUAGAAUUAUUGAUAUUCAUGGUAGCUUCAAUAUCCACCACUGCUGCAAAAAGGGGCUUUUCAAAAGUUAUUAUAAUGGCAAAUAUUUCCAGUUUUCUUAAUUUUUGUUCAAAUUCCUUUUCAGGGUCUUGUAUUUCUGUUUGGAGUAGAUGUAAAAUUUUAGACUUGGAACAACUGUGCUUGAUAGCUCAAGGGGCCUGAUGCACCAAUUAUAGGGCUGGUUUUGUAAAGGAGUCACAUAAUCACUGGUGACGGGAGUCACUAUGUGGCUGUGAUUAUGGAGUUAAGAGGCGAGAGGAGCUAAAGUAAUUCCAAUUUUUGCUGGUGGGCUUGAUUUUCCGGGACCCGUUGAGAAGUUCUUGGUCGAUUCAGUGACGAAGUAACCAACGGUGAAUUCAGUCGUCUCGCUGACUGGUUUUGCUCUUGUGGGGUCCAGCAAGACAGGAUCAUCCCAGGGCUGUUGAGGCGCUCAUGAAGCUUGAUGUUCCUUACAUUGUUGCAUUGCCAUUAGUGUUUCAAACAACUGAGGAAUGGUUCAAUAGUACUUUGGGGCUGCACCUUAUUCAGGUAGCUUUGCAAGUUGCUGUACCAGAGCUUGAUGGAGGGAUGGAGCCGUUGUUUUCGCUGGCCGGGAUCCAAGAACUGGGAAAUCACAUGCUCUUCGCAAGAGGGUGGAGCAGCUCUGCACCAGAGCAAUCGAAUAGGCUGAGCUGAAAAGAAAGUCAAAGG